rnacentral:rRNA from 1 species
GAUGAACGCUGGCGGCGUGCCUAAUACAUGCAAGUCGAGCGAAGCGGGGACGGGUGAGUAACACGUGGAUAACCUCCUAUAAGACUGGGAUAACUUCGGGAAACCGGAGCUAAACCGGAUACUUAUAGAUGGAUCCGGGCUGCAUUAGCUAGUUGGUAAGGUAACGGCUUACCAAGGCAACCAUGCAUAGCCGACCUGAGAGGGGGGUUCGCCACACUUGAACCGAGACACGGUCCAGACCCCCUCGGGAGGCAGCAGGUGGGAAUCUUCCGCAAAGGGCGGAAGGCUGACCGGGCAACGCCGCGUGAGUGAAGAAGGGCUUCGGGUUGUUAAACCCUUGUAUUAGGGAAGCGGUACCUAAUCAGAAAGCCACGGCUAACUACGUGCCAGCAGCCGCGGUAAUAC